ensembl:lncRNA
GUCAGGUGUAGGUGCUUUCUGACACCUCCAGGAGGAGCCCAGCUGGGGGCUGUUAUAGAUAGCUUGUACUGGGGAUGUGGAGGGCUGUGAUAGCAUUACCUGGAAGGAAGCGAGCACUCUUGGCAGAUAAGGCUGGAAAAGAAUAGCCUCGGACGUAGGAUGUUGCCCAGGAGCACCCAGGACAACCAUCUCUUUGCUCAAGAAACAACAUUACAUCAUUCCAACCGGAAUCUCACCUUGCUUGCUGUUGUUCUGUGUGGCUUACCUGGUGGUGGGGAGAGAAGAGGAGAUGGAGAAAACAAUGCUGCGUGUUAGGAAAUAUGAGACAAAGUGAGUUAGCCGCAAGGAAAGGGGAUUGUGCACGUUAUGGGAUUUGAAGGAUGUUUAUACUAGUGUAUUUGCAUGCAGAGUGUGGAAGAAGAGAGUAAAAGACUAAAGACACCAGCAAGAAGGCAGUCUCUGCCCCACAUAUUGUGAUGAAGAUCUGGAACACAAAAACACCUCACGUAACUUUUAAAGCUUCAAACCUGUGACUUAUAAUGGGACUGCAAUGUACAGUGGCCUCAAAUUAGACUUUAUUGUAGCUUUAAUCUUCUUUCUUGCUCAGCUCUGAUUGUUGCUUUCUUAUGAGCAAGCAAAAACUGAUGUACAAAGAUGGACAGUUGCUUCUGUAUUACAGUUUGCUUCCCCAUCACAGUGUAGCCAGAGAUCCUGAAUUCACAUGCACAUAAUAGACUGUGAGGAAGUACAGCAUGAUCAUCUUGAGCUCCGAAAAAAAAUCACCUGUGUGUGUGUGCAGCAUAUAAUUAAAGGAGAAGCAGUAGCAAUAACUUCCAAAUGAACAUUACCAAAUACUUCCAGUGGAAAAAUGCUUAUGAUCUUUUGUGAAGUGUUCUGUGUCUCCAUGGCUAGCAACAGGCCUUUGAAACUUGACACCUUUUUGUUGGCUGUUUUGAGAACAAAACAAACAAACAAACAAAAACGAACAACAAAAAAAACAAAACAAAAAACCCACAAAAGUUCAGACUGUAUGAAUUGUAAG